CCUACGGGAGGCAGCAGUGAGGAAUAUUGGUCAAUGGCCGGAAGGCUGAACCAGCCAUGCCGCGUGAAGGUCAGUGCCCUAUGGGUUGUAAACUUCUUUUAUAAAGGAAUAAAACGAGGCACGUGUGCCUUUUUGCAUGUACUUUAUGAAUAAGGAUCGGCUAACUCCGUGCCAGCAACCGCGGUAAUACGGAGGAUCCGAGCGUUAUCCGGAUUUAUUGGGUUUAAAGGGAGCGUAGAUGGGUUGUUAAGUCAGUUGUGAAAGUUUGCGGCUCAACCGUAAAAUUGCAAUUGAUACUGGCAGUCUUGAGUACAGUUGAGGUAGGCGGAAUUCGUGGUGUAGCGGUGAAAUGCUUAGAUAUCACGAAGAACCCCGAUUGCGAAGGCAGCUUACUAAACUGUGACUGACAUUGAUGCUCGAAAGUGUGGGUAUCAAACAGGAUUAGAUACCCCAGUAGUC
rnacentral:rRNA from 1 species